CUAAUGAGACUUUCUAUGCAACAAAGUGAGGUCAUUCUUUGUUGAUUUAUACCAUAAGGUGCUGGCUAUCAUGUGUUUGAAGAUACCCUAAACUUAACCUAACCUAACCUAACAAAACCCCAAACAGUCACUAUAGGUCUUGACUCAGAAAAUUCAUAUAUGUUUCCUUACUAAUGAGACUUUCUAUACAACAAAGUGAGGUCAUUCUUUGUUGAUUUAUACCAUAAGGUGCUGGCUAUCAUGUGUUUGAAGAUACCCUAAACUUAACCUAACUUAACCUAACAAAACCCCAAACAGUCACUAUAGGUCUUGACUCAGAAAAUUCAUAUAUGCUUCCUUACUAAUGAGACUUUCUAUACAACAAAGUGAGGUCAUUCUUUGUUGAUUUAUACCAUAAGGUGCUGGCUAUCAUGUGUUUGAAGAUACCCUAAACUUAACCUAACCUAACCUAACAAAACCCCAAACAGUCACUAUAGGUCUUGACUCAGAAAAUUCAUAUAUGCUUCCUUACUAAUGAGACUUUCUAUACAACAAAGUGAGGUCAUUCUUUGUUGAUUUAUACCAUAAGGUGCUGGCUAUCAUGUGUUUGAAGAUACCCUAAACUUAACCUAACUUAACCUAACAAAACCCCAAACAGUCACUAUAGGUCUUGACUCAGAAAAUUCAUAUAUGCUUCCUUACUAAUGAGACUUUCUAUACAACAAAGUGAGGUCAUUCUUUGUUGAUUUAUACCAUAAGGUGCUGGCUAUCAUGUGUUUGAAGAUACCCUAAACUUAACCUAACAAAACCCCAAACAGUCACUAUAGGUCUUGACUCAGAAAAUUCAUAUAUGCUUCCUUACUAAUGAGACUUUCUAUACAACAAAGUGAGGUCAUUCUUUGUUGAUUUAUACCAUAAGGUGCUGGCUAUCAUGUGUUUGAAGAUACCCUAAACUUAACCUAACCUAACCUAACAAAACCCCAAACAGUCACUAUAGGUCUUGACUCAGAAAAUUCAUAUAUGUUUCCUUACUAAUGAGACUUUCUAUGCAACAAAGUGAGGUCAUUCUUUGUUGAUUUAUACCAUAAGGCGCUGGCUAUCAUGUGUUUGAAGAUACCCUAAACUUAACCUAACCUAACCUAACAAAACCCCAAACAGUCACUAUAGGUCUUGACUCAGAAAAUUCAUAUAUGUUUCCUUACUAAUGAGACUUUCUAUACAACAAAGUGAGGUCAUUCUUUGUUGAUUUAUACCAUAAGGUGCUGGCUAUCAUGUGUUUGAAGAUACCCUAAACUUAACCUAACAAAACCCCAAACAGUCACUAUAGGUCUUGACUCAGAAAAUUCAUAUAUGCUUCCUUACUAAUGAGACUUUCUAUACAACAAAGUGAGGUCAUUCUUUGUUGAUUUAUACCAUAAGGUGCUGGCUAUCAUGUGUUUGACGAUAACCUAAACUUAACCUAACCUAACCUAACAAAACCCCAAACAGUCACUAUAGGUCUUGACUCAGAAAAUUCAUAUAUGCUUCCUUACUAAUGAGACUUUCUAUGCAACAAAGUGAGGUCAUUCUUUGUUGAUUUAUACCAUAAGGUGCUGGCUAUUAUGUGUUUGAAGAUACCCUAAACUUAACCUAACCUAACCUAACAAAACCCCAAACAGUCACUAUAGGUCUUGACUCAGAAAAUUCAUAUAUGCUUCCUUACUAAUGAGACUUUCUAUACUACAAAGUGAGGUCAUUCUUUGUUGAUUUAUACCAUAAGGGGCUGGCUAUCAUGUGUUUGAAGAUACCCUAAACUUAACCUAACCUAACCUAACAAAACCCCAAACAGUCACUAUAGGUCUUGACUCAGAAAAUUCAUAUAUGCUUCCUUACUAAUGAGACUUUCUAUACAACAAAGUGAGGUCAUUCUUUGUUGAUUUAUACCAUAAGGUGCUGGCUAUCAUGUGUUUGAAGAUACCCUAAACUUAACCUAACCUAACCUAACAAAAC